AUGAACGCUGGCGGCGUGCCUAAUACAUGCAGGUCGAGCGCACAGACGAGGAGCUUGCUCCUCUGACGUUAGCGGCGGACGGGUGAGUAACACGUGGAUAACCUACCUAUAAGACUGGGAUAACUUCGGGAAACCGGAGCUAAUACCGGAUAAUAUAUUGAACCGCAUGGUUCAAUAGUGAAAGACGGUUUUGCUGUCACUUAUAGAUGGAUCCGCGCCGCAUUAGCUAGUUGGUAAGGUAACGGCUUACCAAGGCGACGAUGCGUAGCCGACCUGAGAGGGUGAUCGGCCACACUGGAACUGAGACACGGUCCAGACUCCUACGGGAGGCAGCAGUAGGGAAUCUUCCGCAAUGGGCGAAAGCUUGACGGAGCAACGCCGCGUGAGUGAUGAAGGUCUUCGGAUCGUAAAACUCUGUUAUUAGGGAAGAACAAAUGUGUAAGUAACUAUGCACGUCUUGACGGUACCUAAUCAGAAAGCCACGGCUAACUACGUG
rnacentral:rRNA from 1 species